rnacentral:rRNA from 1 species
AACGAACGCUGGCGGCAUGCCUAACACAUGCAAGUCGAACGAGACCUUCGGGUCUAGUGGCGCACGGGUGCGUAACGCGUGGGAACCUGCCCUUAGGUUCGGAAUAACUCCCCGAAAGGGGUGCUAAUACCGGAUAAUGUCUUCGGACCAAAGAUUUAUCGCCUUUGGAUGGGCCCGCGUUGGAUUAGCUAGUUGGUAGGGUAAAAGCCUACCAAGGCGACGAUCCAUAGCUGGUCUGAGAGGAUGAUCAGCCACACUGGGACUGAGACACGGCCCAGACUCCUACGGGAGGCAGCAGUGGGGAAUAUUGGACAAUGGGCGCAAGCCUGAUCCAGCAAUGCCGCGUGAGUGAUGAAGGCCUUAGGGUUGUAAAGCUCUUUUACCCGGGAUGAUAAUGACAGUACCGGGAGAAUAAGCUCCGGCUAACUCCGUG